rnacentral:rRNA from 1 species
CAGUCGAGCGAGAUCUUCGGAUCUAGCGGCGGACGGGUGAGUAACGCGUGGGAACGUGCCCUUCUCUACGGAAUAGUCCCGGGAAACUGGGUUUAAUACCGUAUACGCCCUUCGGGGGAAAGAUUUAUCGGAGAAGGAUCGGCCCGCGUUGGAUUAGGUAGUUGGUGGGGUAAUGGCCUACCAAGCCGACGAUCCAUAGCUGGUUUGAGAGGAUGAUCAGCCACACUGGGACUGAGACACGGCCCAGACUCCUACGGGAGGCAGCAGUGGGGAAUCUUAGACAAUGGGCGCAAGCCUGAUCUAGCCAUGCCGCGUGAGUGACGAAGGCCCUAGGGUCGUAAAGCUCUUUCACCAGGGAUGAUAAUGACAGUACCUGGAGAAGAAACCCCGGCUAACUCCGUGCCAGCAGCCGCGGUAAUACGGAGGGGGUUAGCGUUGUUCGGAAUUACUGGGCGUAAAGCGCGCGUAGGCGGGCUGUUAAGUCGGGGGUGAAAUCCCGGGGCUCAACCCCGGAACUGCCCUCGAUACUGGCAGCCUAGAGUUCGAGAGAGGUGAGUGGA